rnacentral:tRNA from 1 species
GCCCCUGUGGUGGAACUGGUAUACACGACGGCCUGAGGAGCCGUGCCCGAGAUGGGCAUGCGGGUUCGAGUCCCGCUGGGGGCACUA